AUUGAACGCUGGCGGCAGGCCUAACACAUGCAAGUCGAGCGGCAGCGACAACAUUGAACCUUCGGGGAUUUGUUGGGCGGCGAGCGGCGGACGGGUGAGUAAUGCCUGGGAAAUUGCCCUGAUGUGGGGGAUAACCAUUGGAAACGAUGGCUAAUACCGCAUGAUAGCUUCGGCUCAAAGAGGGGGACCUUCGGGCCUCUCGCGUCAGGAUAUGCCCCAGGUGGGAUUAGCUAGUUGGUGAGGUAAGGGCUCACCAAGGCGACGAUCCCUAGCUGGUCUGAGAGGAUGAUCAGCCACACUGGAACUGAGACACGGUCCAGACUCCUACGGGAGGCAGCAGUGGGGAAUAUUGCACAAUGGGCGCAAGCCUGAUGCAGCCAUGCCGCGUGUAUGAAGAAGGCCUU
rnacentral:rRNA from 1 species